AUUGAACGCUGGCGGCAGGCCUAACACAUGCAAGUCGAGCGGAUGAGAGGAGCUUGCUUCUCGAUUCAGCGACGGACGGGUGAGUAAUGCCUAGGAAUCUGCCUGGUAGUGGGGGACAACGUUUCGAAAGGAACGCUAAUACCGCAUACGUCCUACGGGAGAAAGCGGGGGACCUUCGGGCCUUGCGCUAUCAGAUGAGCCUAGGUCGGAUUAGCUAGUUGGUGAGGUAAUGGCUCACCAAGGCGACGAUCCGUAACUGGUCUGAGAGGAUGAUCAGUCACACUGGAACUGAGACACGGUCCAGACUCCUACGGGAGGCAGCAGUGGGGAAUAUUGGACAAUGGGCGAAAGCCUGAUCCAGCCAUGCCGCGUGUGUGAAGAAGGUCUUCGGAUUGUAAAGCACUUUAAGUUGGGAGGAAGGGUUGUAGAUUAAUACUCUGCAAUUUUGACGUUACCGACAGAAUAAGCACCGGCUAACUCUGUGCCAGCCGCCGCGGUAA
rnacentral:rRNA from 1 species